AUUGAACGCUGGCGGCAGGCCUAACACAUGCAAGUCGAGCGAGCGGCGGACGGGUGAGUAAUGUAUGGGGACUGCCCGAUAGAGGGGGAUAACUACUGGAAACGGUAGCUAAUACCGCAUACUAUCGGAUAACCCAUAUGGGAUUAGCUAGUAGGUGGGGUAAUGGCUCACCUAGGCGACGCUCCCUAGCUGGUCUGAGAGGAUGAUCAGCCACACUGGGACGGGGACAGGGCCAAGACUCCUACGGAGGCAGAAGUGGGGAAUAUUGCACAAUGGGGGCAAGCCUGAUGCAGACAUGCCGCGUGUAUGAAGAAGGCCCUAGGGUUGUAAAGUACUUUCAGGCGGGAGGCGUUACCGACAGAAGAAGCACCGGCUAACUCCGUGCCAGCAGCCGCGGUAAUAC
rnacentral:rRNA from 1 species